GGAAUUAUUGGGCGUAAAGCGUUCGUAGGCUGUUUAUUAAGUCUGGAGUUAAAGCCCGGGGCUCAACCCCGGUACGCUUUGGAUACUGAUAAACUAGAGUUAUAGAGAGGUUAGUGGAACUCCAUGUGAAGCGGUGGAAUGCGUAGAUAUAUGGAAGAACACCAAUAGCGAAGGCAGCUAACUGGCUAUAAACUGACGCUGAGGGACGAAAGUGUGGGUAGCAAACAGGAUUAGAUACCCUGGUAGUCCACACCGUAAACGAUGCUCGUUAGUCGGUGGAUGUAAUCACUGACGCAGCUAACGCAUUAAACGAGCCGCCUGAGUAGUAUGCUCGCAAGAGUGAAACUUAAAGGAAUUGACGGGGACCCGCACAAGCGGUGGAGCAUGUGGUUUAAUUUGAAGAUACGCGGAGAACCUUACCCACUCUUGACAUCCCCUGCGAAGCUAUAGAGAUAUAGUGGAGGUUAACAGGGUGACAGAUGGUGCAUGGUUGUCGUCAGCUCGUGUCGUGAGAUGUUCGGUUAAGUCCGGCAACGAGCGCAACCCCUUUCUUUAGUUGCUAACAUUUAGUUGAGGACUCUAGAGAUACUGCCUGGGUAACCAGGAGGAAGGUGGGGACGACGUCAAAUCAUCAUGCCUCUUACGAGUGGGGCGACACACGUGCUACAAUGGCCGGUACAAAGGGAAGCGAUAUAGCAAUAUUUAGCAAACCUCAAAAAACCGGUCUCAGUUCGGAUCGAAGUCUGCAACUCGACUUCGUGAAGUUGGAAUCGCUAGUAAUCCUAGGUCAGCCAUACUAGGGUGAAUACGUUCUCGGGUCUUGUACACACCGCCCGUCACACCAUGGGAGUUGGUAAUGCCCAAAGCCGGAUAGUUAACUUCGGAGACUACUGUCUAAGGCAGGACUGAUGACUAGGGUGAAGUCGUAACAAGGUAAC
rnacentral:rRNA from 1 species